UGGGGAAUAUUGCACAAUGGGCGCAAGCCUGAUGCAGCCAUGCCGCGUGUAUGAAGAAGGCCUUCGGGUUGUAAAGUACUUUCAGCGGGGAGGAAGGGAGUAAAGUUAAUACCUUUGCUCAUUGACGUUACCCGCAGAAGAAGCACCGGCUAACUCCGUGCCAGCAGCCGCGGUAAUACGGAGGGUGCAAGCGUUAAUCGGAAUUACUGGGCGUAAAGCGCACGCAGGCGGUCUGUCAAGUCGGAUGUGAAAUCCCCGGGCUCAACCUGGGAACUGCAUUCGAAACUGGCAGGCUAGAGUCUUGUAGAGGGGGUAGAAUUCCAGGUGUAGCGGUGAAAUGCGUAGAGAUCUGGAGGAAUACCGGUGGCGAAGGCGGCCCCCUGGACAAAGACUGACGCUCAGGUGCGAAAGCGUGGGGAGCAAACAGG
rnacentral:rRNA from 1 species